UACGUAGGUCCCGAGCAUUGUCCGGAUUUAUUGGGCGUAAAGCGAGCGCAGGUGGUUUAUUAAGUCUGGUGUAAAAGGCAGUGGCUCAACCAUUGUAUGCAUUGGAAACUGGUAGACUUGAGUGCAGGAGAGGAGAGUGGAAUUCCAUGUGUAGCGGUGAAAUGCGUAGAUAUAUAGAGGAACACCGGUGGCGAAAGCGGCUCUCUGGCCUGUAACUGACACUGAGGCUCGGAAGCGUGGGGAGCAAACAGG
rnacentral:rRNA from 1 species